UUCCUUCUUCAGCCGAUCACCUUUCUUUGAAAAAAAAAAAAUUCGCCAUCAAGCUUUUCCGACGACUCAAAGCUUCUACUCUCUUCCUCUCAUCGUCUUGAGCUCGAUGAGGCUUCGAUCCAAGGAGGUUAGGCGUUAGCUCGAGGCAAAGAGUUAGACAAGGAUUUUGCUUGUGAGGGGAAGGAAAUUGCCGACCAGUGAGCGCGUAUCGAGGCUAAGCGACUUGUUUUCCUUUUGCAGGUAGUAGAUGCGGCGGUGUGGCAGCGUGCUAAGCAUUUCCUACUGUUCUCUCUAUUUCAUUUUCGUUCAGUUCAUGUAUGUUCAUUUGGUUCGGGCAUAUGUUGUUGAGACAUGGGAUCCACUAGUAUGUAGAUAGCCUUAUUGUUGGCUUGUAGUAUACAACUCUUAAACCCUUGGUGUAUCAGCUGUGCGUUGUUGUUGUUGCUGCUUCCCUCUGCAUUUUUCAACCCCUCUAAUUCUGUUUAUUGUGGUUGUUGUUGCUGCUACUUCCGCUGUAUAUUAGUGUAAAUAUUGUUGUUUUCUAGGUUGUUGGUUAGCCUUGCGGAGCUCCGAGAGUUGAGUGGCGGAGUGUCCUUACUUAGGAUCAUUGCGGCGGUUGUCACAUUCCGUGGGCCCGCGGGUCGGGGCGUGACAAUCUCAUUCUUUUUUUAAACCC